GCGUUGCUUCUUUCGUGAACUCAUUCUUCCCUUUAUAUAAGUGCUCAUUUUAUGUUCUGACAGCCAUAUAUUGGCAUGAAAAAUGGAGAAGCUCGAGAACUCUACAAUCUUCACCUCCUGCCUUUUUCUCUUCCUCCUUGCCACACCUUGCUUUUCCAAAGUAGGUGAAUCGGAUUUGAUGGAUACUGAGGUUUAUGAAAUCGAUUAUAGAGGUCCGGAGACUCACUCAUCAGUUCCAUCACCUGGUCACUCUUACGGGAAGAAGUCUUUGCCUUUGAUCCACAAAGAAAAUGCCAUGGCAACCCCAAAACCUAAUAGCAUUGAAGGUGCUAACAUGGGAAGAAAGGUGAAGAAAGUACAUGGAUGAAGAUACUGAUCUGGACAGUGGGAGUAGUGAUAGUUUUGAUUCACAAUUUGGUCCCUUUCAGUAUAGAUAUCAAUUCUGAAUAUGUAUUAAUAUAAAGAUAAAUAUAUAUAGCAAUCUUUAAUUUAUUACAUGUUUUUAUUGCCUUGAGUAAAUGAAGGGCUUCAAGAUCUUAUAUAUGUUCAGAACAAUGAAUAUAUAUUAUCCUUGUAAUUAUCAUUAA